GUGACGAUAUUCUUUAAAACACUUCGAAAUCAUUGGAAGAAAAUUACAACUGGGCUCUGCCUCCUGGCCUGGGGAUGUAAUUAGCUGUAUAGAAAACACUGUGAUAACCUACUAAGGAGAGUAGCCUAUCAAGAAGCUCAGGUGUUUGGCAAUCAACUCAUUUCUCCAAAUGCACAAGUGAAGAAGGCAACUGUUUUUCUCAAUCCUGCAGCUUGCAAAGGCAAAGCCAGAACUUGAUUUGAAAAAAAUGCUGCCCUGAUUUUACAUAUAUCCAGGAUGGAUAUGUCUAUUAUUAGGGCAGGUUAUGAGGGAUAAGUCAAGGAACUCCUGGAACUGAUGUUAAACACAGUUGUGAUCAUUGUUGUAAGAGGAGAUGGGACACUGAAGGAGGAUGUUACUGGAGUUCUUCAAAGAACAGAUGAGGCUACCUUCAGUAAGAUUCCCAUUGGAUUUAUCCCACUGGGACGGACCAGUAGUUUGAGUCAUACCCUCUUUGCUGAACGUGGAAACAAAGUCCAACAUAUAACUGAUGCCACAUUUGCCAUUGUGAAAGGAAAGACAGUUCCACUUGAUGUCUUGCAGAUGCAAGGUGAAAAGGAAUAGCCUGUGUUUGCAGUGACUGGCCUUCGAUGGGGACCCUUCAGAGAUGUUGGCAUCAAAGUUAGCAAGUACUGGUAUCUUGCGCCUCUAAAAAUCAAAGCAGCUCACUUUUUCAGCACUCUCAAAGAGUGGCCUCAGACUCACCAAGCCUAUAUUUUACACACGGCACCUACAGAGAGAUCUCCCAGUGAACCAGAAUAGACCCCUGUGCAAAGGCCUUCUUUUUACAGAAGAAUAUUACAAAGUCUUACAUCCUACUGGGCACAACCGGAGCAUGCCCUUUCCCAAGAUGUGAGCCCAGAGAUCUGGAAAGAUGUGCAGCUGUCCACCAUUGAACUAUCCAUCACAACACAGAAAAAUCAGCUUGACCUGCCAAGCGAAGAAGAUUUUAUGAACAUCUGAAUUGAACGAACACCAUCAGCAAAGGAGACUUUAUAACUACAGGAACUCGAAAGGUUUGAAACCGCAAGCUGCACAUCGAAGGCACAGUGUCUCCAAGCCAGCCAGUGCACUUUGCUUGUUGCCAAUGGAGCUGGGGGCUCUUUUGGCAUAGACAGUGAAGAGUGUGAUGUGAAGCCUGUGGAGGUGAAACUGCUCCCCAGGAAGCUGCAGCUUUUCUAUGAUCCCAGGAAGAGAGAAUAGAUGCUGGCAAGCCCCACCCAG
rnacentral:lncRNA from 1 species